UGAUUUUUUUGGAGAAAAUCGAGUCCGAGUUACACUUCUAACUUGCUACAAUCUUCUCGGAUUUCUCAAAUGUUUUUAAAUGCCAUAGAAUUCUUUUGUUGCUUGGAUGGAUGGAGGGGAGUGUUGUUUUUCUAAGCUUGUGCACUCCUGAGGAGAAUGAAGAAAAGGUGUCUUGUUAUGCAUCCUCUAAAGUGCAAAUAUCAUCCUCUAAAGCACAAAUAUUUGAUUACUGUAAGAUUUGAACUUCCCACUUCUUGUGUAUUCUUUCCAUUUUUUCCAAUACCCUAAGUUUUGAUAGAUUUUUUUAAAGGUUUGGUGUUGUAGUCUUGUAGUUAGAGAUAUACCCACCGUCAUUGUAAAGAUUGUUGAUAAAGGAAUCGUCAGGGUGUUUAAUACAUUCAUUUCUUUUUGGCUUUAUUUACUUAUCUUUUUAAACAUUUAUGAUUACUGCUAGAUUGAAGUUAUGUACCUUUUGAUGCAUGGGUGUGAUUUGUCUCGACCACCAGUUGCGGAUCAUUGAUUGAGAUUUGAGAAAACAAAUUACCUUCAGGUUGGGUUUUAUGAGUUUUUUUUUUCAAAAUCGAUGGAACCAAAGAUUACCUGAAUUCCAGAAAACUCAAUGGUGAAUGAUGUUCAGAAGAAGAAAAAUCUACCGAAAUGAAAAGUUUAUCGUUUUUCCUUCCCUGGUUCAAGGAGCACCAUAAAGAAGAUUGUUUUCUUGCAAUUUCUAUCUCUGCGGCGAGCGUGAGCUCGCAUAUACAAUGUAGGUCAUGUCUCUUACGAUUUCCUGUUAUUCUUAUGUAGGGUGUGAUCUAUGAGCACCCACGAUGAGGAUCGCCAUUUCCAAAAUGGCAUAAGAUAUAAAU
rnacentral:lncRNA from 1 species